rnacentral:rRNA from 1 species
CCUACGGGAGGCAGCAGUGGGGAAUAUUGGGCAAUGGGCGCAAGCCUGACCCAGCAACGCCGCGUGAAGGAAGAAGGCUUUCGGGUUGUAAACUUCUUUUGUCAGGGACGAAGCAAGUGACGGUUCCUGACGAAUAAGCCACGGCUAACUACGUGCCAGCCGCCGCGGUAAUACGGAGGUUGCAAGCGUUAUUCGGCUUUAUGGGGUGUAAAGGGCGUGUAGGAGGGAAUGCAAGUCAGAUGUGAAAACUAUUGGCUCAACCCAUAGCCUGCAUUUGAAACUGUAAUUCUUGAGUGCUGGAGAGGCAAGCGGAAUUCCGUGUGUAGCGGUGAAAUGCGUAGAUAUACAGAGGAACACUCGUGGCGAAGGCGGAUUGCUAGAAAGUAACUGACGCUGAGGCGCGAAAGCGUGGGGAGCAAACAGGAUUAGAUACCCUUGUAGUC